CGUGGAGACAGGUGGUGCAUGGCUGUCGUCAGCUCGUGUCGUGAGAUGUUGGGUUAAGUCCCGCAACGAGCGCAACCCUCACCUCUUGUUGCCCUCAGGUCAUGCUGGGCACUCUAGAGGAACUGCCCCGGUCAACGGGGAGGAAGGCGGGGAUGACGUCAAGUCAUCAUGCCCCUUACGUCCUGGGCUACACACGUGCUACAAUGGCCGGUACAAAGGGAUGCCACACCGCGAGGUAGAGCUAAACCCAAAAAGCCGGUCUAAGUUCAGAUUGGAGUCUGCAACUCGACUCCAUGAAGGAGGAAUCGCUAGUAAUCGCGUAUCAGCACGACGCGGUGAAUACGUUCCCGGGCCUUGUACACACCGCCCGUCACACCACGAAAGUCUGCUGUACUCGAAGUCGCUGAG
rnacentral:rRNA from 1 species